rnacentral:piRNA from 1 species
UGACUGUGUCCCUGAGUGUGAUUUUCAGU